rnacentral:rRNA from 1 species
CCUACGGGGAGGCAGCAGGUGGGGAAUUUUGGACAAUGGGCGAAAGCCUGAUCCAGCAAUGCCGCGUGAGUGAAGAAGGCCUUCGGGUUGUAAAGCUCUUUUGUCAGGGAAGAAACGGUGAGAGCUAAUAUCUUUUGCUAAUGACGGUACCUGAAGAAUAAGCACCGGCUAACUACGUGCCAGCAGCCGCGGUAAUACGUAGGGUGCAAGCGUUAAUCGGAAUUACUGGGCGUAAAGCGUGCGCAGGCGGUUUUGUAAGUCUGAUGUGAAAUCCCCGGGCUCAACCUGGGAAUUGCAUUGGAGACUGCAAGGCUAGAAUCUGGCAGAGGGGGGUAGAAUUCCACGUGUAGCAGUGAAAUGCGUAGAUAUGUGGAGGAACACCGAUGGCGAAGGCAGCCCCCUGGGUCAAGAUUGACGCUCAUGCACGAAAGCGUGGGGAGCAAACAGGAUUAGAUACCCUGGUAGUCCACGCCCUAAACGAUGUCUACUAGUUGUCGGGUCUUAAUUGACUUGGUAACGCAGCUAACGCGUGAAGUGACCGCCUGGGGAGUACGGUCGCAAGNUUAAAACUCAAAUUGAAAUUGACGG